AUACGGAGGGUGCAAGCGUUAUUCGGAAUCACUGGGCGUAAAGGACGCGUAGGCGGGUUGGCAAGUCAGAUGUGAAAUCCUACAGCUUAACUGUAGAACUGCAUUUGAAACUGCUAACCUAGAGUAUGGGAGGGGGAGAUGGAAUUAGUGGUGUAGGGGUAAAAUCCGUAGAUAUCACUAGGAAUACCGAAAGCGAAGGCGAUCUCCUGGAACAUAAUUGACGCUAAGGCGUGAAAGCGUGGGGAGCAAACAGGAUUAGAAACCCCUAGUAGUCC
rnacentral:rRNA from 1 species